CAUGGCGGACGAACCUGAACAUUUCGUCUGUCAGUGUUUUUUCACCCAUAAUAUUUUUCUGAAUGACUACGAAGCUCACGUUACCUUCAAAAGUAAAGUUCAAUUCGAGAACGAGUAUCGGAAGGCACUUUAUCACAGAGGCUGUACAACGGACGAACAGUGGCAAGAAGUGCUUAAGCAAAUAGAAGAUGAAAUAGAAAGAAGAAAGAAGCUUGGAAGAGAUUCACAGAGGCGUAAAAAGAUCAUCAUCACUGAUUAUAAACCACUUCAUCCUGAUGUGUACAUUUUACAGGAAUCAUUUCUUGCUGAUAACUUACUUUCAUUGGUGCGUUAUGCUAGAGAUGAUGUGACAGCCACAGCUGAUGGAUUGCUAUCCAUGAUAAAACAUUGUGACGCUGAAAAAGUCUACUCAUUUCAAGUAUUUACACCAGAAUUUUGUAAGAAGUUUAUUGAAGAAAUAAGCAACUUUGAAAACACAGAUCUCCCCAAGGGAAGGCCAAACACAAUGAACAACUUUGGGGUUUUACUGAAUGAGCUUGGUUUUGAUGAGAAUUUUUUUUCACCUCUGAGAACAAAUUACUUGAUGCCAAUCACAAGAUUGUUGUAUCCUGAAUGUGGGGGCAACGCCUUAGAUUCACACAAGGCAUUCACAGUACAUUACAAGAUAGGAGAAGAUCUGGACCUCAGUUAUCACUAUGAUAACGCUGAGGUCACUUUAAAUGUUUCACUUGGUAAGGAGUUUGUUGGAGGAGAGUUGUUUUUUGGUGAUAUGAGACAGGUCCCCCUGAGAGAUACAGAAUGUACCCAGUGUGAACAUGUAACAAGUUACGGACUUCUUCACAGAGGUCAACAUAUGCAUGGAGCAUUGCCCAUCCAAUCAGGAGAAAGAAUCAACUUGAUUAUCUGGAUGCGUAGUUCUGUAGUGCGUAAUAAAUUGUGUCCGAUGUGUGGCAUGGAGCCUAGACUAAUGCCAUGUUCUGGUGAGGGGGAUGGAUUUACCACCGGAAAUUCUGUGCCAGUCUGUUCAGCCCUUUAAGCAAGGCUAGAGGCAAAGCAAGAAGGGACCCUGAGCAGGUAAAAAGAAAACAAUUGGAUUCCUUCCCCUAGAUUACUGCGUCAUAUCAAAUAUUCAGCCCAAUUUGUGAUCGUCUGGAUGACUGUAGUCCUGAAAAGGACUUUUGUCAGCGACAAUACCUUUCCUUUAGCCUGAUCUGAAGUCAUCUUAGGAGUCGACUGAAUUAAUUCUUAUGUAUUAUAGUAGUCUGGCUACAAACGCUUUGUUCUUGUUUGUCUGUUUGUUUUGUUUGUUUUUUAUUUUUAGUUACGCAAGAAAGCGCAAGGCGAGCGAGAAAGCGCGAAGUGAGCGAGGUAGCGCUAACAUGCACAAGGGUGAAGCGAGCGCGAGGGUGAUCGAGAGUUAGCGGUCUUCGUUAGAUUUUUGGAUCUUGCUUUUCUCAUCAUUUGACAGUAUUCCACUCAUUUCUAAGUAACUUAUUGACAAAAGCUGCUGUUGGUUUGUUCAGUCACACUGUGGAAACACUAAACCAAAAGAUUAUGUUUGGUCGGGAACCUCCCAUGGAUCUUAUCAAGGAGCACCGUUGUUUUCAUCUUUGAUCUUUGCCGGCUCUCUAGACAAGUCACCAAUUAAAUUUUUUUUAAUUGCUAUUUUUGUUUUAUCAGUAGUUUUAUCUUACAAGUCACCACUAUAAAGAUAAUACUUUACUUAAUCAUGGUUGCCACAGGUCAGGGAAAAGUCUGGAAAUUUUACAUUGAGUCAGGGAAAAUUUACCACGGAAAAUUUACCAGUCUGAUAUAACAAGGCUAUAUCUCAGACUGACUAAAACUGCAAUCAAUUGUUCUCAUAUUUUAUGGCCGGACACACCUUGAUUAAACGUGAGCUGAUUGGCUAUAAAGAUCUUUCAGACAAAAGAGAAACAAAGCUAUUCCUCAGAGAAGACAGAACGAGACGCUCGUUUUCUGGGCCGAUA